GGAGGGUAGGGACUACGUGCGAAAAUAUUCCUUUUAAACAAGACGCGCGGAUCCUCAUGGUAGUGGAUCGGGUCGCGGCUCAUGCUAUUAUACGGCGUUGUUUCUUCCCUUUUAUCAAACCAAACAUUUCCUUCAAAAACAAAGAAAACAAUCAACCAUUUCUAAAAUAACCCUAACCCGCUUUCUUUGAUUCUCCCUCAACCGAUCCCAAAUCCCUACCCUCAGUCGCCGUACCAUCACCUCUAACAGUGGCCGACGGUGAGUAAAUCUUCCCUUUCUAACCUCCUUUAGAAAAACAUUUAAGAAUCUAACACCUUCAACCAUAAAGAAUCAAAAGAACGUCUCAACCUUGGUUGGAUUCGAUUUUAACGCAGGAGAAACUCCGACGAUAUUCCAACGAUUCAGUCUGUUGCAGGUGUGCAUGGUGUGGAGAAGCCGUUCAUGGGCGUGGAGCGUGGCGCGCAUGGAAGCCGUUGUGAAGCAUGGAGGCUGGAGGCUGCGGCACGAGGCUACUGGCUCUUAGGGUUUGCUGAGUGAUUCUUUGUUUUGGGCUGGGACUUUGGGUUUAAUGUUGGGCUAAUAAAUGUAAAUGGACUGAUGUUUUAUUUUUGUUUUGGGCUAUUAAAUGUGGGUGUAAAAGGACUCUGGACCUUUAAAUUAUUUUGGUUUUAUUA